rnacentral:rRNA from 1 species
GACGAACGCUGGCGGCGUGCUUAACACAUGCAAGUCGAACGAAGUGGCGAGCGGGUGAGUAACGCGUAAUCAACCUGCCCUUCAGAGGGGGACAACAGUUGGAAACGACUGCUAAUACCGCAUAGAGAAGGAGGGGAUUGCGUGUGAUUGGCUAGUUGGAGGGGUAACGGCCCACCAAGGCGAUGAUCAGUAGCCUGUCUUGGUGGAUGAACGGCCACAUUGGUACUGAGACACGGCCCAGACUCCUACGGGAGGCAGGAGUGGGGAAUCUUCCGAAAUGGACGAAAGUCUGACGGAGCAACGCCGCGUGAGUGAUGACGGCCUUCGGGUUGUAAAUCUCUGUUAAUCGGGACGCGGUACCGGAAUAGAAAGCCACGGCUAACUACGUGCCAGCAAGCGCGGUAAUAC